CUUUAGCUUUAGCCCACACAUAAAAUUGGCCAAACAUAGGCCUGGCCCAGGCCCAAAUAAGAAGGAAGACAUGUGCCUGCGUUGAAUCAUAAGGCCCCUAAAUCAGCAACCAACUUCCAUAUGCCAUAUUAAUUGAACUAUACGAAUGUUUAAACUGGAAAUGUAAAGGCUAUUCACAUUGAAUUGUAGAUACUACUUGUAUUUUAAUGCUUGUGCAACUUAAAUGAAAAGAGACUAGGCCCAAACGUAAACUCCAAAUUAUUCCUCUAAACUCAGAUUUUCUAUCAGAUUUGGUUUACAUUAGCAGCAUAUGUAUGAACCUGAAAGCAGUCUAAGGUUAAACCUGGAAUCAAUCUCACAAUUCGACUAACAUGGACUAUAUCGCAAUAAUCACCAUAUUUAAACUUCAUCUGUUUCAUCGCAGCUGUGAUUCAUGAUUAUAUAGAUCCUAGAUAACUUGAAUUACACUAGAUCUACGACUAACUAGUUAGAUUCAUACAAAAUGAAAAGGAAACUGGCUAUAGGGUAAGAUUUUUGACAAUCCAAAAGGCUGAACCAAAUAUUAUGAACUCACAUGAGGAACUAAAGUAUACUACAACAUAUUGCUAUUAAUGUGUAACUAAACAAAUUAUGACUUUUACAGUCCAAGUCCAAGUCAAUACAAACGAUGCAUAAUCUGAUGAUAUCUGGAUGAAAUAAUAAAGCUAAACAAUAUGUGAAGAGUUAAUAUGAAAUUUAGACUUCAUUUUCUUCAUUUAAUACAACCAUUGCUCAUACAAGUGGAUCGAUUUUUACUUCAAUUGAGUCCGUAAGAGAUGGUACCUGGAUAUGAGCAGAAGAAGAGAAGGAGAGAGUCAGUCAACAGCAAACCAAACAACAAUCAGUUGGCAAAAUGUCAGUUACAUCAUAGCCUCAAGCCUAGAAUCCUUUUAAAUCAAACGAGACUAAUGCAGCAGCCCACAACAGCACCAAAAUGACUAGACCAAACUCGGGAGAUCAACAUACUCAACAAAUAACUCACGAUUUUCUCAGACCAGUCAGAUUCAACUCAAAUUGAUUCAAAACUAUGUCAAAUUUCAAGUAUCAAAUAGAAACAAAAGAUUUCAAGUUGUAUAUGGUCGAAAUGAACAAGAAAGUUGCACUAAUACUGAAAUGCAAAAUGAUCUAAGAAGAAAGUAAUGAAACAGUGUUUUCGAUUGGAUUUUCUACUGGAUUUCUGCUUGUUUUUUUUUUUUUGAUUUUUUUAAGAUUUUGAGUUUAGAUUUAAAAUUUCAUAUCUGAAACUUGUGGGGAAUGGGAGGGGAUUUUUGAGAGGCUCCAAAACUUGUGUGUGAAGGCAAUCGUGGUGCCUUUAUAUAGGUAAAAAGGAGGUGUAAGUCAGAUUUUUAGUUUUCCUUUCUAGUCCCUACUUAUUUUCAGCUUUUGUCCUUCAGUUUUUAACUUGCUACCCAAGUAACUACUCUAACUUUUUAAAUGUAGCUUGAAACCUAUUCCACAAGAUUCUAAGAAGUUCUAUUCUAAUCUAUAGCAUUCCACCCGAUCACUAAAGCCCCUAAAUGCCCCUGAAACCCCUAAAAUUACCACCGAAUGAGCUCAAUCCUCUUUUACCCUAAUUAGAUCUAUCCUCUAUAACAGAAUUCAUCAAAUUAAUAACUAAUCGAGCUGAACAUUAUACUAAUAUACUAUUAACAUCGAACAUUGAUUAUCCUAACUGAACCAAGUCACACUGAUUACAAUCAUUCAAUAACAAUCAAAUGAAAAAUAUAUUAAACUAAAUCUAACAGUUCACACAAGAUUGAAAACAGAUUAAAGGAAAAUAAGCUAAUAAUCAAACGAUUGAAUCGCCGAAUAACUGUUAACUACACUUUAGCAAAGGCAGGAAUAAUAAUCAUUGUGUUAAUCUACAUUAAUCCGACGAGCAACAAUUAAAACCUAAAAAAUACGUUGAUCCAAUAGACCCAGAUGUACACGAACUAAUUCUCGAUGAGCGAUUCUAAUCAUUCUGAAAUCCUAACUCAAAUUUACACAUGAAGGAGGAGAAAGAAAUAAACAGAAUGAAGGACUCACCAAUUAAACUCGAGUCGAACCUUCAAACUCGGAAAUGGUCUCCACUUGAUUGACAUCACAAACAGCCUCCAAUUAAUAUUAUAUGUCUAUUCUUUAACAAAAUAAACAUGCAAUACUGUUUGGAACCAAAUGCGUACCGACAGACCCUCGUUCUCUACAAUUCAACUCUUAGCCGAAAACCAUAGAUUUAAAAUCUGGUGACUUCCAAUAGGAUUUGAGGGGUUUUGGUUAGAUAUUAGGGAUGAGGGAAGGGAUAGGGUGAUUUGGUGUAAAUUUUAACCGGUUUGGGCGGCGUCGCCGCCAUGGACAUCGGAGACGGCGGGAACUCUUUCAAUUAUUCGAUGCCCUCCAAUGGGAUAUGAGAGAUGGUAAUAGUGGAUUCGUGAUGGGGUUGUUGAGGCGGUAUAGGGGUGUGAUUUUGGGGGUCAACGGCGACAGUGGUGUCUUCGCCGGCAGCGAAACUGGCGGCGAAGCCGAUAGGGGUAUAGGGGGUGGGGUUGUACAAGGAAGACGAGAGUUUGGUCUCUAAUUUUGUAAAGGAGUUAUUAAAUUUUU
rnacentral:lncRNA from 1 species